UACAGAGGGUGCAAGCGUUAAUCGGAAUUACUGGGCGUAAAGCGCGCGUAGGUGGUUUGUUAAGUUGGAUGUGAAAUCCCCGGGCUCAACCUGGGAACUGCAUUCAAACUGACAAGCUAGAGUAUGGUAGAGGGUGGUGGAAUUUCCUGUGUAGCGGUGAAAUGCGUAGAUAUAGGAAGGAACACCAGUGGCGAAGGCGACCGACCUGGACUGAUACUGACACUGAGGUGCGAAAGCGUGGGGAGCAAACAGG
rnacentral:rRNA from 1 species